AACGGCGAUUCUGAACAAAUCGCAGCGAUCGUCAUUGCCGGAAGAAAAUAUUGCCAGUGCUAAUUUCACUAUCUUCAACUCCUCCCUCUUCUGCUCAUCGAUCUCCUCUUUUCAGUCUCUAAAACUAGCUCUAACACGCAUCUUUUCCGCACAAUCUCGGCAAUCCUCGCCACUGCAAGAAAACGUUGAAGGCGAUCUCUCCAUUCACCUCUUUAUUUACUUAUAUUCAUCGUCGAGAAAAAUCUGGGACGACAGCAUCUUCCCUCUCUCAGAUAUGAAUAGAUUUUUGAUAGUUGUAAGUCUAGGUUUUUAUUCUUAAGAAGGUUAGCUUUAGGAUUAGGAUUUAGGGUUUAUUUUUUAACGAAUUAGGAUUUAGGGUUUAUUUUUUAACGAAUUAGGAUUUUGGCGAUAUGCGAUGCAGAUUCUGAAAAACAGAGAAAGCCACAUUGGUAUAAACUUAGGACUGUGGUUUUGCAGGAAAUUAGAAAAUUUCAGAAAUCAACAUAUUUGCUGAUACCAAUCAUCAAGCACUCCAUCCAUCUAAAAUGUGAGUACUUCAUGUGUUUGUCCAACACCUAUCCUUAAUUUAUGAUAUUUCUUGCCAAGAAAUAAAAUCUGUUUGUUCAUUUGAUUGAUUUUCGCUGUUGAUUUAUAAACUUAGCCAGUUUAUAUUACUUAUAUUUGUCUCUGAUCAAACUAUAUUUAUCAAUAUUCUUUUAGCUCCGAUCAAAUUCUCUGCACUUUUCCAAUUUUAUUCUUUUAAUAAUAUUUAGCUUCUUAGAUUUAGUCAACUCAUCAUAUACAAUCUUUAAAUCUGUGGUGUGGCUUGAAUGAUUAGUUACAAUAUUUUGAUUUUCGCCCAUUGCAUUGUCUUUUCAACACGUAGUAAUCCUUUCCUCCUCACCACAAAGUUGGCAGAAGACUUAAAAGUAAAAAAACCUUGAUGAUCCUAAACAGAUUAGCUCUCACUGUGUGUGUGUUUUUUUACCAACUUUGAAUUCACAUGGUAAUGUAUUAACUAGUAUGUGAGAAUAUAGUAUUAUUAUUUCAAAAAAAAUAUGAUCCUUUGGAUUUUUUAGGGGUUUUGGCAUUUGGGAUUACUAUUUUUAGCUUAAUUGAUAUAUUGUUUUUUUUUUGUUGAAAUUAAUGUUAAAAAUAGGCUAGGGAAAUCACUCAAAUAUAUGCAACAGAAGUCAACAGAUGGACUCCUGAAGCAUUACUGCCAUUACAAUUUACAAGUGGUGAGUUCUUAUUUUACAAUAAAAACUUAGAAUCUUGAAUCUUGAUAUGAUUUGGCUUACUACUCCCUCAGGCCUCAACCAAUUGAAUGAGAGCCAUUUAUAUAAGGUAUAGAGCAACAAAAAGAAUGAACGAUAUAGUAUUACAUUUGUAGCUAUUUUCCUUAUUAAUGAUCAGGCAAAUGCAAGGAGGUCACUUAAAUUUAGUAGAUCACCGGAAAAUUCAAGAAUUUUAGCUUAUGUUCACUUUAAUCAGCAUAAAGCAACUAUGUUCACUUCAAUCAGCAUAAAAUCCUUAUUUCGUUGUUCGCGAAAUAUGCUAUAUUUUUAUAAAGUGCUUGCAAGUAGGGGUGAGAACGGAGCAGGUCGGGGUAGAUAUUCUGUCCCUUUUUUAUUUUUCUGUCCCCGAAGCAGGUCUCGGGGCAGGGCAAAACCCAGGCGGGUCGCCCGAGUUUAAAAAAUAUAUUAUAUUAUACUAUAUUAGAUAUAGAUUAUUAGGAUUAUGAAUUUAUUAUAUUUUUAUCUAUGUGAUUAUGUCUAUUUUAGAUUUAUUUUUUAUUUUUACUUUUAAAAAUUAUGGUAAAAAAUUUACCCAUUUUAAAUUUUAAGCUUACUCUUUUAAUUAUUUUUUUAUCAUUUUUUUAUAAUUCCAGGGCUUGUCGUUCCGUUUCGCGCCCCGGUCACUAGGUCCGGGACAGGGUAUAUGGGCACUUGACCCGUCCCGGCAAAACAGGACGGAUACCGGGAUAGGGCCGCCUACGACCCGUUCUCAUCACUACUUCCAAGUUCCGUUUAUCUGAAAAUUGCUCUAUUUUUUAUGUUUGAUGUGCAGUGAAGAAAGAUCUUGAGCUGAAAUCUUGAUCUUGAGGAAAGAAUAGGUAGCGAUCAUGAAAUGUUUCCCUCAAAUUAACCAGUUAAAUCAUUUAAUUCCAUGUUUUAUGCUAGGAAACUAAAACAAACUUAUGUUUAUUUUUAAUGAUAAAUAUAACAAGUGAAUUCAGCUAAUGCUUCUGCUUCUUGGCUAUUGGCGAAGUUGGUUCAGCCUGUAACAUCAAGAAUUUGCCUUAGUUUUUAAUGUGAAAUUUAGUUUAACCCAUAAAUGCAUUGAUGUUAGAAAAACAGAAGACAAAAUGUAGAAUUUAUUGUUCUUACAGAUUUUGAAAGUAGAUCACUAAUGUGAGUGAGUGAUCUCAACAUUGCUUCCAAUGUGUCUUUUGAAAUCCGAAACUUAAUCUCAGUAGUUUCACUUGAACCACCAUGAUCUUCAAGCUGCACCACCAUGCACAUGAGAGUCUGGUCAGCAGUGGUCACAAAAUGAAGAAAGAAAUUAAAGUGGAGAUGGUUUUUUCCUCAUACCUUGACGGUAAUGAUAGCAAUCCGAUUUGUAGUAAGAAUAGAACUAACCCUCUCCAUAUUCCAUGUCAUAGACUUGAGGUGAGGAAUAACUCUCAUAUUAUCAUCAUUCGAAAGAGUAUCAGUUGUGGAAGGAACAAUUUGAUUCGUAGAAAUACCCACCAAAUUAUCUUCCUGUGGAAAAUCCAUGGACUGAGAGGAAGCUGCAGGAAUGCAAGUUGUUCUUUUUGCCAGAUCCUCCUCCUUCCAGAGACUGUGAUGUUUCUGUAGUAGCAGAGUGAGAGUUGUCUGAAGAUGGACUGAAAUAUCCGGAGGAAACAGCUUCUGAACGAUACUACUAGCACCAAUACCGUCGUUAUCGCCAACGCCGUCGGAGUUGAUGUUACUAACCACAAGAUCGAAAUUAAGAGAGUUUCUGAUGAUUGAACGAAGACACGCCAAUACCUGAUAUUUUGGUUCGAUUUUCAUGGAUCAGAUCAGUUAGAUCGGAUCAAUUAAGCAUGCGACGAGAUAAGAGAAAGAAGAGAUCUCACGGGAUCGAGGUCUUGUGAAGAUUGGAUGCCAAGAAGGGACUGAACUGUAGACUUCUGGAGUGAGGAAAGACCGAUUUUUCUGGUAUCCCACAGCAAGCAAAGCGCUUCUCCCAAAGUCUUCUCUGUCGGUGGUGGAGACGAAGGGAUCUUCCGAAGCUGACCGUGGAAAGCAAGAACAUCGCCGUCCAUAUUGGUAUCCAUCCCUUCGACUUCCAAUGGAGAGGAGGAAGAGAAUAGUAAAACUUCGAAUAAGGUUGUGAAAUUUGCAGAUAAUUUAUUUAUAACUAGUGAUUUUUUUCUUUAUUUAACUAUUUACUUUUGUAUUAUUCGAUAAAGAUCCAAAAACUAAACCCUUGGAAAUUGGGACCCCACUUGACAAAGGGUUUCAUACUUUCUCUGAUCUAAAUAGACUUGCGAAAUCUAAAAUCCUAAAAACAUACAAUCAUGCAAUCAUUGUAUCAUACAAACACCUACAGACUUAUUUUCUACAUCAAAAACUGAAAUAAAUCCAUGGAUCGUGUAUAACUUAAAGCUUUCUCUUUUUCUAAUAUUACCUAAACAAAACAGAAAAACCUCUAGGAAGAAGAAGAAGAAAGAACACACAGAAAACAGCAAACCUUUUUCCUUUGUAGAUUAAUGAUCCUCCUAUUUGUUUUGUAUGGGAUUUGCUCUACUCCAAGGCACUGCCCUCAAGCUUUCAAUUCCACCAGGAGUGGCGGCUGAAGCCAAUGAUGCUUUUCUUUUAGCAGUGACAUUCAAAGUAUUCUUCACAUCUAACUGUAAAUUAGAUUCAGACAACAGCAUUUUUCUGGGUUGAUGCAUUCCUUCAUAUAAGAAAGAGUGACACAAUAAAAUGUUAAGAAACAGAAGCACAAGAAGUAAAGCGAAAAUUACAGAUCUAAAAAUGGGGGUUUUCAUAGUAUUUUUUUUUUUUGUUCUUGAUGAUGCUGAAAAUGAAGAGAUUUCAAAACAACAGAGAAUAUGUAUCAAUGUAUGUUUACAUUAUAAAAAAAUUAAGUGUCAGUGAGUGUGUCAUGACAUAGAUAUUAAUUAAUUAAUGCUAAAGAAACUUAGAAACUAAGCUAUAGAUUAUAAUAAUACAAGCAUGUAACAUGGAUGUGAUUAAAGGAUGCGUAUGCCUGUUUGGUAUAAUAGGUCAAACGAGUUAUUUUUUAUGAGAAUUGAGAAACUGUCAACUUGACCAGCUUAUAUUUUAAAAGGAUUUGCAAAUAGAAUUUAAUAAAAAAAAUGAUCCAUUAAUCUUCCUUUCCGAUUAUUCUUUGAUUAUAUUCAUAAUUCUUUGCAAAAAAUAGAUUCUUUGAUUAUAUUCAUAAUUUGAAAUUUAAAUUUAAAAAGAUUUUUUAAUGAUAAAAAAAUUAAUGAAACAAAUUCAAAGAAACUUCCUGACCUUUUAAACGAAGGCACUUUCUUUCAAUGUAUUGGGGCUGCAAGAGGAUCAAAAUAAUUUUUAUCGAUACUAUCUUUCAAAAUGGCAAUCUCCCCUUCCUUGACAAGAAUUUCUUCGUCAAGAGUUUCGAUCUUUUUCUUCAAUGAUUUAUUCUCAAAACUCAUUAACUUGCUACUCUCUGUCAAUCUCUGAACUUCUUUCCACAUACGGUCUCUUUCGUUGGAAACCUUGGGCAACAUAUCACGACUUGAAUUGCACUCCUGCUUAUACUCUAUAAGAUCGAGUUCAACUUGUUUCAAACUCUCAUCUUUCCUCAACAUCUGACAUUCAAUUUAAUUAUUGUUAUUAUUUUCAAUUUUCAGAGAAGAAAAUUAAUAAGAUGAUUAAAUAAUAUAAGAUCUUUUUAUUUUUAAAACCUGAAGUUCAAAAUCUUUUGAUCUGUGGGUAAGACUUGAAAUUUCAUCCUUCAUCUUCUGAUUCUCAGAUUUUGAGAUUUCAACCUCUCGUAACAAACUUGCUAUAUCACCAUGAAGUUGCUCAAUCUCAACUUCUUUGGAGCACAUUUUAUGUUUUAAAACCCUGGUCAUUAAUCUUUCUGCCUUUAAUUCAAGUUCCAAAUCAUCCUAAAACAAAACAAAUAGAAAGUGUCGAUAUUAGUUUAUGAUUUUAAUGCAUUAAAUUGAAAUCAUUAUAAUGUAACGAAUAAUUAAAAUUUUACCGAAUCUUUGAUCAAUUCUUUUGAUGACCUAUUUUCCACAUAAUGUUCUUUAUUAAAACUAAAAUCUCUCAAUUUACUAUUUAAAACAUCUGACAUUGAACUCAAACUUCUCUUCCAAUUUUCCCUUGCAGUUUUUAAACUCUGGAAUUUACCAUUGUAAUCCACGAAAGAAUAAUCCUCGGAUUCAUUG
rnacentral:lncRNA from 1 species